rnacentral:lncRNA from 1 species
AGGGAGCGGGAAGGGACCCCCCUCCACUCCCCCGGCCCAGCUGUCCAUCCUGGUCAGGGACCACCCCUGACCCCCCUUUCUUUCCCUUCCGUGUCCUUGAUCGAGAAAAGGUUAAGCUGAACAUUGAGACAAAGUGGUGGCCAAACGUUCGGGCUCCCCAGAGUUUAUUGCAUUAGAUUGUGAGAUCCUGGAGAGCAGGUGAGAAUGAUUUUCCAUCGACUUAUUUGAACUGUAGAAUCACAGGACAAGGUUCUUCUCUCCAGUCUGCAAAGCUGAGCUCUUUUGUGCACUACAGAUCCCUGUGUGGAUAGAUGCACAGACCUUCCAAGAUGGCAAUGGAAAUUCUUCUGGGCAGAAUGAGGGCAAAGUGUGUAACCUCUCCAGAGCGUGGGUGCUGCAAUGUAAUCUUUGCAGUGAUUGCUACUCAACA